UUUUUCUAGGCCUCCAAGGCUAGUCUUGAGAGUGAUGAACUCAGGAUAUGUUUUCAGGCAUUUUGGUAACUGUUUGAGCAGCAAAUAGAGUCACAGUGUGAGGUCCCUCCCAGAUGGAUUCCAGAGAUGGAGAGAGAAGAAAUUUAAGUAUCAUUUGGCUCACAAGAUGAAACUCGGACCUGGUGUUACAAACUUCGUAGAAAGUCCGGAUCUGGGAAAAAUCAUAAACGACAGCUGAAAAUGGACAUCACCCAACUUUUCUGAAGCUUAUGGAGAAAGAAGAGGAUGCCAUAGUUAUGGAGUAAGAUCCAUCAAUCACCAUUCAUCUCUUGGCGUUCUGCAGCACAAACCUGGUAGUCCUUUUU